UUCUUAUCGAGAAAGGUGGAGGGACUGGCCCUUUGAAGCCUUAGCAGCAGACUCCUGACGGGUACUGUGCUAAUUCCAGAAGCGUACGUGCUUGCAGAUGAGAA
rnacentral:ncRNA from 2 species